AGUGAACGCUGGCGGUAGGCCUAACACAUGCAAGUCGAACGGCAGCACAGUAAGAGCUUGCUCUUACGGGUGGCGAGUGGCGGACGGGUGCGGAAUACAUCGGAAUCUACUUUUUCGUGGGGGAUAACGUAGGGAAACUUACGCUAAUACCGCAUACGACCUACGGGUGAAAGCAGGGGAUCUUUGGACCUUGCGCGAUUGAAUGAGCCGAUGUCGGAUUAGCUAGUUGGCGGGGUAAAGGCCCACCAAGGCGACGAGCCGUAGCUGGUCUGAGAGGAUGAUCAGCCACACUGGAACUGAGACACGGUCCAGACUCCUACGGGAGGCAGCAGUGGGGAAUAUUGGACAAUGGUCGCAAGCCUGAUCCAGCCAUACCGCGUGGGUGAAGAAGGCCUUCGGGUUGUAAAGCCCUUUUGUUGGGAAAGAAAAGCAGCAGGUUAAUACCCCGCUGUUCUGACGGUACCCAAAGAAUAAGCACCGGCUAACUUCGUG
rnacentral:rRNA from 1 species